rnacentral:pre_miRNA from 1 species
GUGAACCGAUUUUCAAAAAUUUAUCUGUUUUGGAAAGAUACAUUUCUCAUCUUUCCAAAACUGAUAAAUUUUUGAAAAUCAGUCA